GGGANNGANGUCNGCNGUCGACGAUUCCUACGGGAGGCAGCAGCAGGGAAUCUUGCACAAUGGGCGAAAGCCUGAUGCAGCAACGCCGCGUGUGGGAUGAAGGCCUUCGGGUUGUAAACCACUUUCAGGAGGGAAGAAAUUGACGGUACCUCCAAAAGAAGCACCGGCCAACUACGUGCCAGCAGCCGCGGUAAUACGUAGGGUGCAAGCGUUAUCCGGAAUCAUUGGGCGUAAAGAGCUCGUAGGCGGUUCAGCAAGUCGGCUGUGAAAGUUCAAGGCUCAACCUUGAAAAUGCAGUCGAUACUGCUGUGACUAGAGUCUGGUAGAGGAGAAUGGAAUUCCCGGUGUAGCGGUGGAAUGCGCAGAUAUCGGGAGGAACACCAGUAGCGAAGGCGGUUCUCUGGGCCUCGACUGACGCUGAGGAGCGAAAGCAUGGGUAGCAAACAGGAUUAGAUACCCUGGUAGUCCAUGCCGUAAACGUUGGAUACUAGGUGUGGCGUUCUAUCAACGGAUGCCGUGCCGAAGCUAACGCAUUAAGUAUCCCGCCUGGGGAGUACGGCCGCAAGGCUAAAACUCAAAGGAAUUGACGG
rnacentral:rRNA from 1 species